CACAAAAAACAGGUGUACAUUCAGGAGAUCCCAACAGAGCCUGUACUUCCUGCCUAACUUUUGCCAGUGAUUUUUCCGAUUAUUUAUAAUUAAUGAUAAAAAAAAUUGCAGAACAUGCAAAAGGGACAAUCAGAAAUAAAAAGAAAAACAGACAAUACAUCGUGACUAAAAUUAAAGGCAAGAAAAGACAAAACACUAAACUACACAGAAAAAAUAGACAGAAAACCAGAAACCACACCCAUAUUCGGGGACGAUAUCUGGUGCUCAAGAAUGCCCCGAGAUGUAUGCGACUACGCCACGGUUACAAUUAUAACACAUCCAGGUCAGCUGUUACACGGAUAUUUCAUAAAAGUCAAGGCAUCUAUGAAAUUUUUCCAAAGGCCGACUGUUUAUUUAAUCGCAGUCAUUAUUGUGAUCAUACAGGUGUAAGGGGAACAACUCUAAGAAUUCUAACAUAUCUUAGAAUAGAAAUGUUCAAAGUUGUCACAUAUCCUUAGAACUUGUAUAUUUUCAAUUAAAAAGGUUUUAAC
rnacentral:lncRNA from 1 species